UACGUAGGGGGCUAGCGUUGUCCGGAAUCAUUGGGCGUAAAGAGCGUGUAGGCGGUCCGGUAAGUCCGUUGUGAAAGUCAGGGGCUCAACCCUUGAAUGCCGGCGGAUACUGUCGGGCUAGAGUCCGGAAGAGGCGAGUGGAAUUCCCGGUGUAGCGGUGAAAUGCGCAGAUAUCAGGAAGAACACCCGUGGCGAAGGCGGCUCUCUGGGACGGUACUGACGCUGAGACGCGAAAGCGUGGGGAGCGAACAGG
rnacentral:rRNA from 1 species